CAUCCGCGAAAUAAAUAAUCCUCUCACACAUGUACGCUAUUUCUAGAGCGACAGAAUAGGCGGGAAAGUGUCAAAUAUGCAAGGAAACGAAAUUUGCAUGCAUUAACAAUUUCUAACAAAAACCCCAGUAUUGCGCGCAUUUUCCCCGAUUCGCUUGUUAAGUAUUUAAAUUACGUAAUCUCCUUGAAGUUUUACACCUGAUUAUUAAUAGUUAUUCUGCAUUUGUGCAACUGCCAUUUUGUAUGAUAAAUAGUGCAUGUUUCUGCAGGUUUAAACGUUCGCUGGUGCAGGAAUACACACUGCGCCGGUGCAUACAGGCAACUUGCACAACUCAACUAUUACGCAAUUUGUUUAUAAAUCGAGUUUGAUGCACACUGCAGUUUUUCAUGCAAAGAUAUGGAGCAACUUCUGAAUAACAUCGAUUUUAAACUAAAGUAUUAAAUUAGCAGCUUGGAUGUUUCUUUACAACAACUUUAGUAGGAAUUAGCUUCUGUUCCGAUUUGGGAUUUUUUCUGAGAAUUAAAAUGGCUCAAUAUCAUCUGCUGUAGUGUUACGCUUGUUGUGGUUAUUCCUCAGUAUAGGAGAUAUAUUGAUCGUUCCAAUUCGUGAAAAUAUAUCAACACAAUCAGUGGAAUUAAAAGACCUAGGCAUUGCCUAAGUUUUUUCGCUAUGAAAUCGAGUGGUAUGAAAGCUCACCUCAAGUGAUCUCGAAUGACCAGGUCAGCGCGAACAUCUGUCUGUGUUAACCCGCUCUAGCACGACGACCUGAAAUGCCCUCUUGGCGAGGGCGUUCUGGCCUACCGGCAUACCAAAGAGACGAUGGGAAUCUGCCUGGCUUAGGAAAGGUUCUCAGCAGUUUUUUCACCAGAUGGAUCCUUAAAAUUAAUGAUGCUAUAUCCACACAAUUUCAAAAGUUUUCAAAAAGUAUCACGAAACAUAACUCGCAUGAUUACAUUCAAAACGCCAAGAACCAUAGAUUGACCUUCCUUCAGAAGGGCAGACGAAUUCCUAAUUCUCCCUACUGCUACUGGUGACGACAUAAAGAGAGGGCACGGUCUACAAAGUGCUCACAGAUGAAAGGAACAGAUAAAUAACCAGUGAUGCUCAUUUGUCAAAAUUGUGACCCAUUUUCAGUUUUGCAUUUGUGUAUUCCUGGUGAAAUAGAAACAUCAUGUAUAAAUCAGGGAUGCCAAAAUGAGGCAACUCCAUCGUCGCAAACUAGAGUCCGCAAGCUUCCUCAAAUGAUGAUAGAGAGAAUCGAUGUGAAUCACCCGUGGGUUACCGAUGAUGAGGCAACUCAUCAACGCUAUAUAAUUUGACGGAUUUACAAAAAAAAUUAGCGAAAACAGAAUAUGGACGUUUAA